UACGGAGGGUGCAAGCGUUAUCCGGAUUCACUGGGGUUAAAGGGUGCGUAGGUGGGCAAGUAAGUCAGUGGUGAAAUCUCCGGGCUUAACCCGGAAACUGCCAUUGAUACUAUUUGUCUUGAAUACUGUGGAGGUCAGCGGAAUAUGUCAUGUAGCGGUGAAAUGCUUAGAUAUGACAUAGUACACCAAUUGCGAAGGCAGCUGGCUACACAAAUAUUGACACUGAGGCACGAAAGCGUGGGGAUCAAACAGG
rnacentral:rRNA from 1 species